ACAACUCCUGACGUAAACCCUGCUUCGCCCAGCGAGAAGCUCUGUAUCCCAUUACUAACCCUGGGCUGGAUGUGCCAAAGGCGCGUUGCUGGCGAGGGCGGAUGGAGGCUUCCAGAGACCAGCUCUCAGCAAUGUCGGUGCAGCUGUGAGGCUGGGCUGAGGGAGUGAGGGAGAGUUGGGUGACUCAGGUAGAGGCAGCAAGGUUUCAAACCAGACACUGAUCCCAAAUGAGACGUUCUCCUUUGUCCCAUUCUGACUGGACCUUUUUUUUUUCUUUCUCUUUUUAGGGUGUCACCCAGGAAAUACACUGCUGUGUUCUUUUGAAAUAAAUGAUGCUAACAUCUCAUUUUUGUGUGGUGAUUGACAGUGUUUAAGGCAGUUGUGUUUCCACAGUUGAAAUUUAUCCUUCAACCAGCUGUUUGAGGUAAGUACGGUAUGGUCUUUAUUUGAGAGAUGGGGAAACUGAGGCCCUGAGAACAAUGUCCUAGGCCAGUGUUGUAUCAGUGAGUAAUUAUUGACUGAGACCAAUCAGGACUUCUUCCCACAUCAUGCUGUGGUGUUCAUCUAUCCUCCUUUCUCAAAGAUCCUGCUCUCCUUGACAAAACUAGUUAAUUAAUCUGGUCCUUUAUGCUUAUAGAGUGUCUGCUACAUGCCAUGUAUUAGUAAAGCAUCAAAUACAACAUGCAACCACCCUGUCCUCAUGGUACUGAAAUUCUGAGAGGUGAUUAGUACAUGCAUGUGAAAUUUCAGGUGCAGGUAAGAACACUGGCGAAAAGUUCAGCAGGGUCGGAGGUGGGGGAGAGCCUCUGUUUUAUGCAGGGUGAGCCGAGAAAGCCUGCCAAGAAGUCGCCAUGGGAUCAGAGCCCGAGAGAAGUGAGGAAGCCCCUGGGGUGGUUCUAGGGCACCUGCCGGACGACAGCACAGACCACAGUACGUGCCCCUCAGCUCUCCAAGGUAGGUGUCAUUACCCCCGGGAGAGAUAAAAACCCUCAGAGCCGCUUGCUCAAGUCCCACAGCUAUCAGGAGGGGAAAGAGGGUGCAGACCAAGGUCUGUCUUCAAACCUCUGCUCCUAACCACCGUCAGUUUCAGGCAGGAAAUCUUAACAGGUGGGGAGAUAUUUGGGGCAGGUCCUCUGCACUCAGAUUCCUCGGAAAACACUUGGUGUUUGCCAAUGCCACCGACGUGAUGUCACCAAGGCACAUACUAGCAUAAUAAAAACUGGCCUGCUUUUAUUAUUUGACUUAGUUUUUAUUUCAUGUUUAUAUUUCCUAGUGGGCAACCGACCAGAGCCCAGCGAUUACAGUCAACGUCACGUGCCUUAUAGCAAGAGAGACUGGGCUAGGGAUAAUCGUUCUUUAAAUGUCACCGUAUGCCAGGCACUGUUAAGUGCUUUAUAUCUAGUAUCUCACUUAAUUUUCACAAACAGCCUGUGAAACAGAUACUAGCUUUAUCUUCAUUUGAGAGAUGAUGAACUUGAGUUGAGGAUCCGGUAAAUCUUACAUUACUGAGACGUAUCUGAUUUACAUUCAACUCACCUCUUACACCAUAAACCGGGCUCUCGAGCCCUAAGGAAUGGGUACAGCAAAUCUUGAGUGUCAAGGGCUGACGGAGAGGAGGCCUAAGGGGGGAAAGGCAGGGAGACUGUGCGUCUGCUUUGUUGGGGGUCACGUAUUUAUCCAAUAUACCCAAAUGGAGUAAAUUGGGACUGGUUGGGAGUGAAACGUUUUUUCUCCAGAACUGCACUCUAGAAUUAUGAAGAGCAAUUCAUCAAUCCAGGAAGAAUGCAGGGCAAACCCCUGUCACACUUGACAUUUGAUUUUUAAAUGUCCACCUUUUGGGGGGGAGGGGUAUUAAAAUAUGGGCUUAUUGGUAACCCAUGAGAAUAUCAAGAACAAGGGUGAAGACGAUGAAAACAUCCCUAAUCUUCCUACUCAGAGACAACCACCACCGCCAUUCUGAUAGCUCAGUGUUCUAGCUUCUGUGUAAGCCUCCUUAAAACUUGUACUUUAGUCGAAACAGUUCUUUACAUAGAAUGGUGCAAGAUCACCUUUUUCUUGUGAAUUGAGCUGUACCCCCGUCCCCAGCUGCACACACACAGAAACAGCUCUGGCUCAGGCUGCAGCGGCCUCCUUUUCCCUUUUGCUUAUCACCUUGAGUUCCACAGGAGUGUGUGGUAAAGCCAGGCCCCAACUGGGCCCUGCUGUCUCUGGAAGGAUUUCAGCUGACCCUGAGCUCUGGCACAGCCAAAGGGCAUCCGCCUCUGCUACCGAGCCAUACAUUUCCCCUGACAGGAUCUCCUCUUAGACCUCCUUAGACAGCAGACAUCGCGAGCAGACAGCAAGAUUCACGGCUGUCUGGCUUCUCCCUGUCCUCCCCCAGAUGGGCUGAAGCCAGAUGACAGAGCAUGAGACCCGAGGAGGAACAGCCUGGGGGUCGACGGCACGCCAAGCAGAAGUGGACAAUAUCUGGUCCCAGCUCACGCCUUGGCUUAAUCGCAACCACAUGAGCAAACUCAGGGCUGCACAGCACAGUUGUAAUUGGAAUAGAGUGUCCUCUGGGAGACUGUUGGGGAUGAAGCUGUUCACUGCAUGAGACGACGCACUGCUCCAGAUAUCAUCCAUUUACCGACGAUUGUAACAGUGGCUAAUGUUUACUGCGUGCCUAUCGUGCCCCCGGCAUAGCGUACGAUACCCUGGGAGGAUCACCUCAUUAGUUCUCAUAACACAUCGCACAGAGUUUCCACCUUGCCUGCAUCUUGGAAUGACCUGGGAAAGUUUUACUACUGCAGGUACUUGGUCCCAGAGCUACUAAUUUAACUCAUCUGAGAUGUGGUCCACUCAUAAGGUAAGAGAGAUAUAUAUGUAUAAGCUCUAAACAUGUCCCUCUUGUGCUAACAAUAUAUUCCUGGAGAAAGGCCCAGGCUCUUAACGUGGCUAUAUUACACGGCUCUUUGGCAUGUGGCCCCUCCCUCCUUAGCAGCCCCCUUUUAUACAGCUCUUUCUCUCACUCAGCACAUUGCCUCUCUGGCUUUCUUGACUUCUGGGAACGUUCAUGCUUCUUUCUGCCUUAUGGUCUUUACAUGCCGAUCACAAUUCUCUUCCCCAUCUGUCUGGUUGCCUCCUUCUUGUUCUUCUGGUCUUAACUUGAUACAGCUGAUCACAAAAAUGGCCAUAAUUCUCCACCCCUCCUCUAGCUGCACUUUUUGCCAUGUGACUUUGCAGCUCUUUCCAUUGAAAGCCGGAUUCUCUUUUCCUGCCCUUUGAAUCUGAGGUGGCCAUGCAACCUGCCUUGAUCGAUAGAAUCCUGCAGAAGAAAUGUUGUGCCAGUUCUGAGCCUGAGCCUUGCAGGCUUCUGCUUGCUAUCCUGGAACCCCACCAUCACCAUGUGAAUGACCCUGGUCUGCCCUCCUGGAGGAUCAUAGCUGAGGCCAUCCCAGACCAACCAACCUGGCCCACAAACUCACGAGGAAGCCUGGCUGAGAUCAGAGCCCGGGCCAGACCCACAGGACCUUUCAGUUGAUCUACAGACUUGUGGGCAAUGAUAAAUGGUGGUUAUUUUAAGCCACUAACUUUGGGUUGAUUUGUUAUGCAACAGUAGGUAGCUGAUACACUUCAAUAUAAUUUCCUAUUUCUCUUUGAGCAUAAAUCGGGUUCUCCCUUUAUCCACUCUCAUAGCACCUUAUACUUGUCAAUUGUAUAAUGGAUGACAAUGCUUAUCAGAACUAAAAAUUGUGUAAAUAAUACUUUUUUCUCUCUCUGAUUAGAGUUUAAGCCCCAUGAGAUCAGAGACCACAUUUGAUUCGCUCCCUGAAAUAUUCCUACCAUCUGGCAUUAUUUUAUACACGGUAUAUGCUACACUUGAUCUUAACCAAGAGGCCGAGAAGUGAUACACAUGGUAAAUGCCAAAUAAAUACUUGUCAGAAGACAAACGCAAGGAUGAAUUCAUAUGCUCACUAAACACGUCUUAAGUACUUUCUCCAUUUUGGGUACCAUGCAAGAUUUUAAAGAUAUCAAAAUGAAUAAGGCAUAGUCUUUGUUCUUAAGGAAAUUCAUGGUUUAAAAGCUGGGACAUGAACAUGUAAAUAAAAAUUGUAGGCCACGUUAAUAAAUGUAAUUGAGGGUGUUUAGCGUGUUGAUAAGAGCAGGAUAGAUCAGUGGGUUGAAUAAAUCUGGAGAAAAGAAGUUCCUGGAAAAUGGUUUAUGGAGUAAAUAUUCUAAAUGAUGAUUCUACA